GUUAGGAAUAUUGGACAAUGGGCGAAAGCCUGAUCCAGCCAUGCCGCGUGAACGAUGAAGGCCUUCGGGUUGUAAAGUUCUUUAGCCGAUGAUUAUAAUGACUGUAGUCGGAAAAUAAGCCCCGGCUAACUUCGUGCCAGCAGCCGCGGUAAUACGAAGGGGGCGAGCGUUAUUCGGAAUCACGGGGCGUAAAGCGUGCGUAGGCGGUUUUGUAAGUUAGGAGUGAAAGCCCAGGGCUCAACCUUGGAAUUGCUCUUAAAACUGCAAGGCUCGAAUCUCUGAGAGGAUAGCGGAAUUUCCAGUGUAGCAGUGAAAUGCGUAGAUAUUGGAAGGAACACCAGUGGCGUAAGCGGCUAUCUGGACGAGUAUUGACGCUGAGGCACGAAAGCGUGGGGAUCAAACAGGAUUAGAAACCCUGGUAGUCC
rnacentral:rRNA from 1 species